GGAAGUAAAAGUGGUAACAAGGUCUCCGUUGGUGAACCAGCGGAGGGAUCAUUA
rnacentral:rRNA from 1 species